GGGCCGGUAGCUCAGUGGUAGAGCGCUGCUGUCACAUAGCAGAUGUCGAGUGUUCGAGACACUCCCGGCCCA
rnacentral:tRNA from 8 species